UACGGAGGAUCCUAGUGUUAUCCGGAUUUAUUGGGUUUAAAGGGAGCGUAGGCGGGAGGUCAAGUCAGCUGUGAAAUGUAUCUGCUUAACGGGUACACUGCAGUUGAAACUGGUUUUCUUGAGUGCGUAAGAGGCAGGCGGAAUUCGUUGUGUAGCGGUGAAAUGCUUAGAUAUGACGAGGAACUCCUAUUGCGAAGGCAGCUUGCCGGGUCGUUACUGACGCUGAUGCUCGAAGGUGCGGGGAUCAAACAGGAUUAGAUACCCCGGUA
rnacentral:rRNA from 1 species